rnacentral:rRNA from 1 species
AUUGAACGCUGGCGGCAUGCCUUACACAUGCAAGUCGAACGGCAGCACGGGAGCAAUCCUGGAGGCGAGUGGCGAACGGGUGAGUAAAGUAUCGGAACGUGCCCAGUCGUGGGGGAUAACGUAGCGAAAGUUACGCUAAUACCGCAUACGAUCUAGGGAUGAAAGCGGGGGAUAGCAAGACCUCGCGCGAUUGGAGCGGCCGAUAUCAGAUUAGGUAGUUGGUGGGGUAAAGGCUCACCAAGCCGACGAUCUGUAGCUGGUCUGAGAGGACGACCAGCCACACUGGGACUGAGACACGGCCCAGACUCCUACGGGAGGCAGCAGUGGGGAAUUUUGGACAAUGGGCGAAAGCCUGAUCCAGCCAUGCCGCGUGCAGGAUGAAGGCCUUCGGGUUGUAAACUGCUUUUGUACGGAACGAAAAGGUUUGGCCUAAUAAGCUGAGCUCAUGACGGUACCGUAAGAAUAAGCACCGGCUAACUACGUGCCAGCCGCCGCCGUAA